CCACCACACUUUUGGCAGGAAUAUAUGUAAACUUAAACUACAUAUUUAGGUGGAUUGUAAAUUUUUAUUUCCAUUUGUUUUUCAAACUUAGGCACUUGUACAGCAGGAAAUACUUGAAGGACGAUUUUUCCCGAAAGUCAGGCAUAUUUACCGACAGCUAUUUUUGGGUGGGGUCCUUUUCCACGAGGCUGAGGAAGCAGCAAACAAACAUGCCGACGGUUGGCGUAAAAAGGGAUCUUCUCUUUGAAGCUUUGGGUAGAACUUAUACUGAUGACGAGUUUGACGAGCUGUGUUUUGAAUUUGGACUGGAGCUGGAUGAAAUUACGUCCGAGAAGGAGAUAAUUAGCCGUGAACAGGGUGAUGUGAAGGCAGCACAAGCAUCUGAUGUCAUCCUUUACAAGAUCGAUGUGCCAGCAAACCGCUAUGACCUUCUUUGUUUGGAAGGUUUGGUUCGUGGGCUUCAGGUCUUCAAGAAUAAGUUGGAGGCACCUCGGUACAGGCGUGUCAGCCCCAGCAGCGGGGAGCCUCAGAAACUCAUUAUCACCAAGGAGACGGCUGCAGUGCGCCCCUUUGCAGUGGCAGCCGUUUUGAGGAACAUCACAUUCACACAGCAACGCUAUGACAGCUUCAUUGAGCUGCAGGAGAAACUCCAUCAGAACAUAUGCAGGAAGAGAACCCUGGUGGCAAUUGGGACUCAUGACCUGGAUACCAUCUCAGGUCCUUUUACUUACACAGCCAAGCCACCUGGAGACAUCAGCUUCAAACCACUCAACCAGACAAAAGAAUUCACUGCCACCCAACUCAUGAACCUCUACAAGACCGACAGCCACCUGAGACAUUAUCUUCAUAUUAUUGAAGACAAGCCAGUGUACCCCAUAAUUUAUGACAGCAAUGGCAUUGUCUUAUCUAUGCCUCCUAUUAUCAAUGGAGAUCAUUCAAAAAUCACUCUGAAAACAAAGAACGUAUUCAUUGAGUGCACUGCCACAGAUCUGACCAAGGCAAAGAUUGUGUUAGACAUGAUGGUGACAAUGUUCUGCGAGUAUUGUUCACAGCCUUUCACUGUAGAAGAGGCUGAUGUGGUGAACCCUGACGGCACGACCUUCAAAUAUCCAGAGCUGGCCUACAGAAAGGAGAAACUGUCCAGUGAGUUCAUCAAUCGCAAAGUUGGCAUCAACGAGUCCACUGAGAAGAUAGCCCAGCUGCUGACACGGAUGUGCCUGCGCUCUCAGGCUACAGGUGUUGGUGAUGAAAUAGAGGUUGAGAUCCCGCCCACCCGCUCGGACGUCAUCCAUGCUUGUGAUAUUGUGGAGGACGCAGCCAUGGCCUUUGGUUUCAACAACAUCACCCACACCACGCCACAUACCUACACCAUAGCCAACCAGUUUCCACUGAAUAAACUGACAGAGCUGCUAAGACAGGACCUUGCAGGGGCUGGAUUCACAGAGGCCCUCAACUUUGCCUUGUGCUCCCAAGAAGACAUAGCAGACAGGCUUGGCAAGAAGAUCUCUGAAACCAGGGCAAUUCACAUCUCCAACCCCAAGACCGCAGAGUUCCAGGUGGCGCGCACCACCCUGCUGCCAGGUUUGCUGAAAACAAUUGCAGCCAACAGGAAAAUGCCUCUCCCCCUGAAGUUGUUUGAGAUAUCUGAUGUAGUGCUGAAAGAUGAGACCAAAGAUGUCGGGGCAAGAAAUAGCCGACGUUUUUGUGCUGUAUAUUACAACAAGAGCCCAGGCUUCGAGGUGCUCCACGGCCUGCUCGACCGUACCAUGCAACUACUGGCGGUGAAGCCAAGCCGAGGAGACGGCUACCACAUCCAGGCUGCAGAAGAUUCCACUUUUUUCCCUGGACGCUGCGCAGAGAUCUUCGUCCACGGGAAGAGCAUCGGACGUCUCGGGGUCCUCCACCCACACGUCAUUAACAGUUUUGAGCUGACGAUUCCCUGCUCCGCCCUAGAGAUGGACAUCGAACCUUUCCUUGGCCACACGGCUGAAACGCGCCUCACACACGAGGUUCCCAUGCAGGAAGUCCUCAAGCACAAGUUCCCCACUCAAGUCAAAUCCCCACAGGCUGUGGCCUCCACAAAAACUGUGUUUGGUGACUUGAGCACACUUGUGGCUCUCAAAGCCUUAAAUGAUUUCCUGGCGGACAAAAGCUACAUGGAAGGCUUUGUAGCAUCUCAGGCUGACGUUGCCGUCUUUGAUGCCAUCCCCUAUACACCCCCACUCACUUUGUGCCACCUCCUGCGCUGGUACAACCACAUCAAAUCCUUCCACAGGGAAAGGGCUGACCUUCCUGUCGUUGCAAAGCAGUUUGUUCUCCCAGAUACUCCUCCCACCUCGUCCAACAGUGAUGAAGACAUAGAUCUUUUUGGCUCAGAUGACGAGGCUGACAGCACAGAGGCGGCCAGAAUCAAGGAACAGCGACUUGCCGAGUAUGCUGCCAAGAAGUCCAAGAAGCCGGCUGUCAUUGCCAAGUCCUCCAUCCUUCUUGACGUCAAGCCCUGGGACGAUGAAACAGACAUGGCCAAGAUGGAGGAGUGUGUCCGCAGCGUCAGCAUGGACGGUCUGUUGUGGGGGCAGUCCAAGCUGGUGCUGGUGGGUUAUGGCAUCAAGAAGCUCCAGAUAGGAUGUGUGGUUGAGGAUGACAAAGUGGGCACAGAUAUGUUGGAGGAAGCUAUCACCACCUUCGAGGAAUAUGUUCAGUCAGUGGAUGUGGCUGCCUUCAACAAGAUAUGAAUGGCUAGGACCAACCAUGUCUAAGAAGUAGGUUUGGGCGAUCUGGACCUUAUGUAUCACGAUAUGGCGAUAUAAAAACGAUAUAAUUAAAUUCAGCAGAGUCACGCAUAAAAAGCUACAAACAUUAACUUAUAUAAUUAAAAAUAAGCUUACCUAUGGCACUGUGUAGAGUGUCUAACGCACACCAGCUGCUUUCACAACAGCUCCACUGUCAGUAGUUACACACACUUGUUUCUUCUCAUCCAAGUCCCAUUCCUGGAGAAACUCCACCUCAUUUGCCAUGUUUUCACCUGGCAAACCACCAAGUCCAAUUGCUGGUUAUGUAGUGUAUGGUUGAGUCACUCGGCUACUCCACAUGUCUGUACUACAUCUGCUGUAUUGCUGUAAACCAAACUACUUCCAUAUUACACAGGUACCGCCCGUUUUAGCAGCAAUUUACACUUCGCUGCCGCCUUCAGCCAUGCUCAUAGUCUCUCUCUAGGUUGUUUUGUUGCUGGCUCUGAUUUCUCCGCCGUCAUCGGACCAUGCUGGCGCUAGACGUGAAGCGCCAAUGCAUCAAGUGCACCGCGGCGUGCAAUCAGAGGGAAAACAAAAGCGUCAACUCUGCCUUUGAAAAUAUUAUUCCUACCGGUAUGUCAAUUAUCAUUGGAAGGAUUUAUCCCGGUAGAUAAAACUUAUCGUCAGACCCUAAUGACAAGCAGGAUCUUGGGCCGUGUUUACUUUAGUCAGGUUUGGCUCGGUUAAAACAGAUUCAAGUGCAGUUUCUCUGACAGCACGGGUUGUUGGGUCAAGUGUUAAUGCAUCUGAACACUGGUGUGCGCUAGACCACUUUAAAUAUUUUCGGUCCAGUAGCCAACAACCUUUGGUCGUUCGGCAGCUUUUUAAACAACAAAACAAAAAAACCACUUUCUCUUAAAACAGUAUGCUAGCCGGUGGUAAUGUUCUUAUAUAUUUUUGGUUGACAAAAAUGAGAUCUUGAGCCAGUCACAUACAGCAGAUUUAACUGAGCAUUAAUUGGUCCAAAAAAGUGUGAACCUGACUGUUGCGUGUACAAAAAUGUUUGGUCCGGACCAGACGGUACCUGGCUAUUAGUGAACGCACCCUUAGUUGCAAAAGUGCAAAAGAUUCUUGUCUGCACUCAAUCCAGUAAAGCUCUCUCGCCGUUGAGCGCUUUGAAUCUUUUUUGUUUUUUUCUAUGUACGAUAUUCUUAAGAACCCGUACCAUCUGCCUCUCACCUUCCAAGGGGAAGUUGGCAGACGAGAGCAUGCUGUGCAGAUAAGUGGUCUCGUAAAUGGAGUCUGACAAGUACACCAGCAUUUUUUGGAACGUUUACUAUUCACUUCUCGGCUGAGAUGUUCUGAAUUUUGGAAGUAACCGUCAUUUAAUUUGUCAUGUUGAAGCUUGCAGUUUAAUACGGUUAAAGUCCUUCUGUCAGGAGGUUUUGGCUGAACUGGUUCCGUUUUAUGGCUUUGCUGAACUUGGGUGGGAUCUUGUUUGAAUCACGUGAUACUGACUUGUGUAAGUCAAAGCUUUGCACAGACAAUGCCAUCAGCAAUGUGUCCUCACAGGAAUGAAAUGUCAGGGCGCUAUUGUAACUAGUCAUGAGCACCACUGCACUUGGCAAUUUCUGGAGGAAUUUACUACAGAAUUUGCUCAAGUCCUGCUGUAAUAUGUUGGAUUAAAAAGGGCAUGUAUGCCUCUCUGGCAACACUUGAGUGUCUCAAAUGGAAUACAGCGGUACCUCGGUUUGUGUUAUUGUUCCAGAGGUUUCGACAAAAACGGAAAUGUACAACAACCUAGGCAAUGUUUCCGAUAAUUUCCCAAAAAUUACAUUUUACAGAGAGCAAUUUUAGUUUACAUGCAGAAAACAAUGACUAAUAAUUAUAAAUGAUGAAUGGAUGGAACUUACUGAACUUACUGAGGACUUCUCAUCCAUCCUGCCCUGGUGAAAUUUAACAUGGCGACGGCAAAGAUGGCGCCUUGACGGCAACAGUGUUCAUCACUGCGGCAGUGUCUCAGUUAGCGCACAUCCAUACUUGCGCUUAAGUCUUUUAAGUGCGUACACACUGACAAGUACAGCAAAACGUUGAGUGCAAAAGUCUGGGUCAUAAUGGUGGUCUACACUUGGCCGUACUUGUGCACUCAAAAGGGCCACAUUGAAAAAAAUAAUCUGAGAUUUGGAGAAAGUCGUAAAUGUACCAGAAAAGUCAAAUGUACGAGAAAAAAGUCAUAAAUUUACGAGAAUAAAAAUUUUACAAGAAAAGUAGUAAAAUUUACGAGAAUAAAUGUUGUAAAUUUACGAGAGAAAAGUCGUGAUAUUACCUUUUGCCCAGGGCCAAAGGUCACAUAAGUCCCCUUUUGCCUGAGACAGCUAUGAAAAGGGGAGACCUUUGGCCUUGGACAUGUGGAGGGGGCGGGGCGGGGCAAGGAAGGCGGAAGUGAGAAGGGCGAGACAUGCUGAUCUGUUUGCACUCAACUGCUCUGUUUUGCUGCCACGUUAUGAAUAAAGGCUUUUCUGAAGCAAGAGGAAAGCUUCCUUCCUUCCUGAAGAGCUAUGCUCUAUCUUCCAUCUGACGUGUAAUAUGACUUUAUUCUCGUAAACGGACGACUUUAUUCUUGUAAUAUAAUGGCUCAUUUUCUUAUAAAUUUGCGCAGUAAAUUUACGAGAAUAAAUUCUACAUUUACAUUUUUCUUGUCAAUGUAAGACUUUAUUUUCUAAAUCUUUUUCGAAAUGUUUUCAAUCUGAACUUAGAGACAGCCCACAUUUUACCGAAACUUAUUUUAUAAAUGAGCUGGCAAUUUGUACAUUACUUUUGAGAGUCUUGCUAAAUGAACAGGAUAAUAACAGGAACACAACGUGAUGAUAUAAAGUACAUAUUUAUUCCACUUAAAAUACAUGCCAUUGCAAUUGGAGAUUAUACACAUUUUUAAUUCAAUACUUUAGAAUUUUGGCUAAUCAUACUAGCCCCAGUAGAAGGAAGAUUCUAUUGACGAGAAAAGAAUGAACAAUUCCAACAGAAGUGUAUGUGGCAAACUUGCUCGGCACUUCAAUUUCUUUCCUCCUCGUGGCACACUUGCUGCUUUUUGGAAUGUUAUACCACCAAUACAACAAAUGUAAGCUGACUGCUUUUGUCACCUGCCGGGUUCCAACUAACGCAAACACGCCAACAAGGAAGCGGGCAGUGCCCAAGACCAGUGUGUGUGUUGUCAGUGUGGGCAGGGGUACAGGCAGCACCCCUUUGGGCUCAAAAGUCUCCCCCAACUGCUUGUUAAUCCAAUACCCAACAGAGCAUCCGGCCCCAACCCCAAGGAUGGUGGUGGUGUCCCCCCUUGUGGUGCUGUAAUGUUCCAGCUCUGGGUACGUGUAGCUGAGGAUGAGUGGCAGGACCAACGCCACCAUGGGAGAGAUGCUGCUGGUCAGCUGGAACUGCUCAAAGGAUUCCCAGAAAGGAUAAGUUACAUACAGCACCAGUGCUGAGAUCAAAACGCCACAGAUGACAUCCUGGAAGAGACGCAGUGAAAGGUAUCAGUGAUGCUCACCUGGAUUCUAGAGGGGGCACUGAGCAACAACGUGAAGGAGAUGGCGGUGGCGGCCAUGGCGUGGGUUGAGGGGAGGCCAUACUCUGCGUCGACUCGUGUCUCCAGCUUGACCACCGGUGGGGAGAGAGGACGGGGCAACUUUAGCACGUCCUUCAUUACCUGGCCGAUGUACAUCACCAACUGCAAGGGAGGAGACACACAUCCGUGGUGAGAGAUUGGUGGGUAUUCUUUCAUCUUUCAAGGCACAGAAUAUUGUGUUCUAUGGCGUGUAACCUCCCAAAGGAAAGAUUAGACUCCCAUCUUUCAUCAGAGAAAAAAAGUUAGUUUCUACCUUUUCCAUUUCUUUAGUAAUCAGCAGUAGAACAUACUGUAAGUUUCAGCAAAAUAUCAGUUCCCAGUCAUUGCAAGCAUGACUGACACAAACAUGUUUUACUUUUCUGACGGCUCAAAUAUCUAAACAACUAUACCAACGUAACCAAAAAGCGGUUGUUUUACAUCAAAAUAAUUAUUUACAACUAUAACAACAUGAACUAUUUACAACUUAUCAAAUGCACUUCCUCCACCUUGUGGCUGUUUUUUAUGGCUUAAAGUUGCUCUGAAGUGAAAUGCAUUAGUGGAGAGUUGCAUCAUCACCUCGUUUUGCCUCUUGUGCAAAAAAACCAAAAAGAUGUAUAAAUACGAUGUUGGGAUUGGGCGUUCGGGUUUAUAAGAACGCAUAAAUACAUCUUUGGUAUUGAAUGAGUCAAAGAUGUUAAAAGGAUAGUGUGGAUUUUUUUUACU